AUUGAACGCUGGCGGCAUGCCUUACACAUGCAAGUCGAACGGUAACGGGCCUUCGGGUGCCGACGAGUGGCGAACGGGUGAGUAAUGCAUCGGAACGUACCUUUCAGUGGGGGAUAACGUAGCAAAAGUUACGCUAAUACCGCAUAUUCUGUGAGCAGGAAAGCAGGGGAUCGCAAGACCUUGCGCUGAUUGAGCGGCCGAUGUCAGAUUAGCUAGUUGGUGAGGUAAAGGCUCACCAAGGCGACGAUCUGUAGCGGGUCUGAGAGGAUGAUCCGCCACACUGGAACUGAGACACGGUCCAGACUCCUACGGGAGGCAGCAGUGGGGAAUUUUGGACAAUGGGGGGCAACCCUGAUCCAGCCAUGCCGCGUGAGUGAAGAAGGCCUUCGGGUUGUAAAGCUCUUUCGGUCCCGGGAAGGAAAUACGUAAUGGGCGUAAUACCCUGUGCGGA
rnacentral:rRNA from 1 species